AGUAAUGACACUGGUCUCUGUGCCUUUCUAUUGACAUUUUGUUUUUAAAAAAGCAAGCGGGCAAACAACUGGCUGCUAUAAUGGGAGACACUUAACUGUUUAUUACCUGUUUAUCUAAGCAGCACAUAGUCCUCAAAACAGCACACUUUUAGGUGCUGCAUGUUAACAUUGGCAUACCAUUUGCAAAAUACAAACUACAACAGAUGUCUGAAGUGGACUGGUUUGCUGCAAAGACCAUUGCAGAUGCAGUUUCUGCACUGCUGGAGGAACACUGGACACUGUGGCAGAAAUUCAAAGAGAAGCUAUGACGCUCAGUGAAAUUAUUGACCUCUCCUGGACUUCUGGGACAACAAAGUACUACUGGGCAAACAAGAAAAAUAACUUGGAGACAAAUGGAUAAAUCAUUUCCCACAUCAAAACAUUUAUUAACUGCA